rnacentral:lncRNA from 1 species
GCCAUGGGCCAAGGUGCUCCAUCUCCCACGCAAGAGACUGUCUCAGAGAGCGGUGGCCAAGGACGUUGCCUGGGUCCUCGUGGGCACAGGCUUCUCAUGACACGGCUUCAGUGACUUGGACGUGGUCCCAGGGCAGCGGGGCUGCAUUUCCGAUGGGGACGUGAGAGCGCUCCCCAGAGAUGGAGCGCAAGCAGACGCCAUUCCACAGCACCGAAGGAACUGGGGAGGGACGAUGAUGGGUUUUCUUCUGGCGACGCGGACACUUUCCUUUGUAUUUUCUGGAGAGAAGACUCCCUUUCUCCUUUGGCUUGUGCCGUUCCGCACCCAUCCCCAGAUCGGAUGGGCAAGGCUGGGGCUAGAAGCAGGGGAUCCAACGUCCCAGUGUCCAGUCGUGCCUCCCGCCCACCCCACGGGUUGAGAGAGGAGCAGAUCCUGGGAAGGAGCGAAGUUUGCCUGGAUGGGCCUUGUGCGGCUCUGGGGAAGAGAGGAUGUCACUCAAAGUUCCCGAGGCUGCGGGGGAGUCCUGACGUCUAAGCUUCCUCGGAUGAGGAGGGUAUUUCAAUUCCCGUCCAGAGGUUCCUCAGAACAGAGCCUCCAUGCAAGCCUGUGCUGUGGCAAGCGUCCAGCCGCAGCCCGUGGAGUCCGCAUUCUUUCCACUAGAGGGCGGUCAGCUGUGAAAGCACCUGGGAUCCCGAGAGGGGGCCUGAGAGGCAGGGGUGGAGAUGUGGCCCGAGGGACGGAGAGUCUCCUGGCCUCCGGGAGCCUUGAGCAUACUGCUCUUCCAGCUGCCUGAGCAGGUGCCCACAGGGUUUCGGAGACCUCCUGACAGCAGGUGUGGGCCCAAGGGAGCCGAAGGAUCUCCUGAGGAGAGUCUCGUUGGAGAAGACACUGGGUAGGCUUGGCACUGUUGCCGCAGAGCUGGCCAUCAACCUCCUGGGUUUGGGCCCAGGAGGGAGGUUCCAGGAGAAGCCCCUCGGAGGCUGCCCCUUGCCAGAUGAGCCCCCAGGAGCCCCCGAGUUCCACACACGGGGUGAGUGGGUUGGCGAGCCGGCGCUCUCCGGCCCCGCGCGCGCGCAGGUCGCCCUUUCCUGAUCCAGGGCCUUCUGCUCACUCCCGCAGCUUCCUCACGACUACCGGCCCCCACCUCCCCCAAAGUGGGUUUCUCCGGAGGGAUUCUCUGAAGCCGAUUUCUUCUCGCCCCUCCUCUGUCCCACCAUUGAGGCUGCUGACUCGGGCCUGGUCCUGUUUUGGAUGGCUACCCCUGCAAGCGGGAAAUGCG